GUUAGUUUUGCUUGAGAAACGAAGAUGAAAGAUUAGUAUCUGGUGUGUGUAUUCUUAUAGAUGCAUCCUGUGAGUUUCCCUCCAGCACCACCUCCACCAGAUAUAUGACACUUGGGUGUGUGACUGUUGUAGUGUUUCUGUCGAUAAGAUUCUGUAAUUAUGUUAUUCAGAAUUGUCAGCACCAGGUCAAAUGGGCUCUUAAUACAGCCCAGGAUGAUGGCAUGGAAGGGACUUUUAAAUGUAAUGGAAAAUGUCACAGUCAUUAACCAGAAAGUACAAAUACCUGUAACUUAUAAAUAUGUCUACCCUAAAUGUGUUACAGUUGGUAGUCUUAAUAUUUUCCUUAUACACCUGUAAGUAGGUUCUUGUUAUUACCACUUAUUGUUGACUAUUGUGUAUAUUUUAGGUUUUCACCUUUGUACGGUGAGAACACCACUCACGUCACACCACUGUCAUGAC